rnacentral:rRNA from 1 species
CCUACGGGAGGCAGCAGUGGGGGAUAUUGCACAAUGGGGGGAACCCUGAUGCCGCGACGCCGCGUGGGUGAAGGAGUGCUUCGGCAUGUAAAGCCCUAUCGGCAGGGAAGAAGCAAGACGGUACCUGACUAAGAAGCACCGGCUCACUACGUGCCAGCAGCCGCGGUAAUACGUAGGGGGCGAGCGUUAUCCGGCUUCACUGGGUGUAAAGGGAGCGUGGACGGCCAAGCAAGCCAGGGGUGAAAGCCCGGGGCCCAACCCCGGGACUGCCCUUGGAACUGCAUGGCUGGAGGGCGGGAGGGGAAGGGGGAAUUCCUGGGGUAGGGGUGAAAUGCGUAGAGAGCAGGAGGAACACCGGCGGCGAAGGCGGCCUGCUGGACCGCGACUGACGUUGAGGCUCGAAAGCGUGGGGAGCGAACAGGAUUAGAUACCCUAGUAGUC